rnacentral:rRNA from 1 species
UAACGCGAAGAACCUUACCAAAUCUUGACAUCCUCUGACCCCUCUAGAGAUAGAGUUUUCCCCUUCGGGGGACAGAGUGACAGGUGGUGCAUGGUUGUCGUCAGCUCGUGUCGUGAGAUGUUGGGUUAAGUCCCGCAACGAGCGCAACCCUUAAGCUUAGUUGCCAUCAUUAAGUUGGGCACUCUAAGUUGACUGCCGGUGACAAACCGGAGGAAGGUGGGGAUGACGUCAAAUCAUCAUGCCCCUUAUGAUUUGGGCUACACACGUGCUACAAUGGACAAUACAAAGGGCAGCGAAACCGCGAGGUCAAGCAAAUCCCAUAAAGUUGUUCUCAGUUCGGAUUGUAGUCUGCAACUCGACUAUAUGAAGCUGGAAUCGCUAGUAAUCGUAGAUCAGCAUGCUACGGUGAAUACGUUCCCGGGUCUUGUACACACCG